rnacentral:rRNA from 1 species
CCUACGGGAGGCAGCAGUGAGGAAUAUUGGUCAAUGGACGAGAGUCUGAACCAGCCAAGUAGCGUGAAGGAUGACUGCCCUAUGGGUUGUAAACUUCUUUUAUAAAGGAAUAAAACGACGCACGUGUGCCUUUUUGCAUGUACUUUAUGAAUAAGGAUCGGCUAACUCCGUGCCAGCAGCCGCGGUAAUACGGAGGAUCCGAGCGUUAUCCGGAUUGAUUGGGUUUAAAGGGAGCGUAGAUGGGUUGUUAAGUCAGUUGUGAAAGUUUGCGGCUCAACCGUAAAAUUGCAAUUGAUACUGGCAGUCUUGAGUACAGUUGAGGUAGGCGGAAUUCGUGGUGUAGCGGUGAAAUGCUUAGAUAUCACGAAGAACCCCGAUUGCGAAGGCAGCUUACUAAACUGUGACUGACAUUGAUGCUCGAAAGUGUGGGUAUCAAACAGGAUUAGAUACCCUUGUAGUC